UACGAAGGGGGCUAGCGUUGUUCGGAAUCACUGGGCGUAAAGCGCGCGUAGGCGGAUCGUUAAGUCAGGGGUGAAAUCCCGAGGCUCAACCUCGGAACUGCCUUUGAUACUGGCGAUCUGGAGUCCGGGAGAGGUGAGUGGAACUCCUAGUGUAGAGGUGAAAUUCGUAGAUAUUAGGAAGAACACCAGUGGCGAAGGCGGCUCACUGGCCCGGUACUGACGCUGAUGCGCGAAAGCGUGGGGAGCAAACAGG
rnacentral:rRNA from 1 species